rnacentral:rRNA from 1 species
CAGCAGCCACGGUAAUACAGAGGGUGCGAGCGUUAAUCGGAUUUACUGGGCGUAAAGCGUGCGUAGGCGGCUUUUUAAGUCGGAUGUAAAAUCCCUGAGCUUAACUUAGGAAUUGCAUUCGAUACUGGGAAGCUAGAGUAUGGGAGAGGAUGGUAGAAUUCCAGGUGUAGCGGUGAAAUGCGUAGAGAUCUGGAGGAAUACCGAUGGCGAAGGCAGCCAUCUGGCCUAAUACUGACGCUGAGGUACGAAAGCAUGGGGAGCAAACAGGAUUAGAUACCCCCGUAGUCCCUGUCUCUUAUAU